rnacentral:rRNA from 1 species
GUUAGCGGCGGACGGGUGAGUAACACGUGGGUAACCUGCCUGUAAGACUGGGAUAACUCCGGGAAACCGGGGCUAAUACCGGAUGCUUGAUUGAACCGCAUGGUUCAAUUAUAAAAGGUGGCUUUUAGCUACCACUUACAGAUGGACCCGCGGCGCAUUAGCUAGUUGGUGAGGUAACGGCUCACCAAGGCAACGAUGCGUAGCCGACCUGAGAGGGUGAUCGGCCACACUGGGACUGAGACACGGCCCAGACUCCUACGGGAGGCAGCAGUAGGGAAUCUUCCGCAAUGGACGAAAGUCUGACGGAGCAACGCCGCGUGAGUGAUGAAGGUUUUCGGAUCGUAAAACUCUGUUGUUAGGGAAGAACAAGUACCGUUCGAAUAGGGCGGUACCUUGACGGUACCUAACCAGAAAGCCACGGCUAACUACGUGCCAGCAGCCGCGGUAAUACGUAGGUGGCAAGCGUUGUCCGGAAUUAUUGGGCGUAAAGCGCGCGCAGGCGGUUUCUUAAGUCUGAUGUGAAAGCCCCCGGCUCAACCGGGGAGGGUCAUUGGAAACUGGGGAACUUGAGUGCAGAAGAGGAGAGUGGAAUUCCACGUGUAGCGGUGAAAUGCGUAGAGAUGUGGAGGAACACCAGUGGCGAAGGCGACUCUCUGGUCUGUAACUGACGCUGAGGCGCGAAAGCGUGGGGAGCGAACAGGAUUAGAUACC